rnacentral:rRNA from 3 species
AGACCCGAAACCCGGUGAUCUAGCCAUGGGCAGGUUGAAGGUUGGGUAACACUAACUGGAGGACCGAACCGACUAAUGUUGAAAAAUUAGCGGAUGACCUGUGGCUGGGGGUGAAAGGCCAAUCAAACCGGGAGAUAGCUGGUUCUCCCCGAAAGCUAUUUAGGUAGCGCCUCGUGAAUUCAUCUCCGGGGGUAGAGCACUGUUUCGGCUAGGGGGCCAUCCCGGCUUACCAACCCGAUGCAAACUGCGAAUACCGGAGAAUGUUAUCACGGGAGACACACGGCGGGUGCUAACGUCCGUCGUGAAGAGGGAAACAACCCAGACCGCCAGCUAAGGUCCCAAAGUCAUGGUUAAGUGGGAAACGAUGUGGGAAGGCCCAGACAGCCAGGAUGUUGGCUUAGAAGCAGCCAUCAUUUAAAGAAAGCGUAAUAGCUCACUGGUCGAGUCGGCCUGCGCGGAAGAUGUAACGGGGCUAAACCAUGCACCGAAGCUGCGGCAGCGACACUCAGGUGUUGUUGGGUAGGGGAGCGUUCUGUAA